CCUACGGGUGGCAGCAGUGGGGAAUAUUGGACAAUGGGCGAAAGCCUGAUCCAGCCAUGCCGCGUGAGUGAUGAAGGCCCUAGGGUUGUAAAGCUCUUUCACCGAUGAAGAUAAUGACGGUAGUCGGAGAAGAAGCCCCGGCUAACUUCGUGCCAGCAGCCGCGGUAAUACGAAGGGGGCUAGCGUUGUUCGGAAUCACUGGGCGUAAAGCGCACGUAGGUGGAUUGUUAAGUGAGGGGUGAAAUCCCGGGGCUCAACCCCGGAACUGCCUUUCA
rnacentral:rRNA from 1 species